UGAUCAGGAUUCAUUGUACUCACACACUGACCGGUUGAAUUAUAUAACUUCUUGGUGCAACUACUUAAGGAUGAUGAAAAGUAAGCACUGGGAGAAAACAGGGGUUACUUUUCUAAGGAGCUCCCACUUGAUAAUGGGUGGCAGAAUGCAGUUUGGAAACAUGUGGCCUAAGGGAGGUACUAAAAGAAAUAAGCAAACAAAUAUGAUACUAUGCUAAUAUGGUAGAAAAGCUGAUUUAUAAAAAAUUCAGUUAGUUCAAGUAAAAUAUGAAAUAUAGAGAUAAAAAAUUAAGAAUGAACAAAUAAGAUCAUAAAAAGCAACAAUAAAGAAAUAAACAAUAAAGCAAAAUAAAUAUAUUUAAAUAUAACCUUAUUUUAUGUUAAAUACAAAAUAACACUAUAAUAUAAAACUUCAACACACAUAAAGCAAAAAUGGACAGAAAUGUAAAGACAUAAAUCCAGAAUUAUAGUUGACAAUAUCAACAUUCCUUUCUCAGUAACGGCUAAAAAUGGACACAAAAUCAGUAAGCACAUUCAAAACUUGAAAAACACUAUCUAACAAUUAAAGAUAAUUGAUAUUUACAAAAUGUUCUACCCAAUAACCCUACGCAAAAAUAACUAAGGUGAAAAGAGGUGGAGGUGUGGCUCAAGUGGUAGGGAAUCAGGCCUUGGGUUCAAACCCCAAUAGCACACACAAAUAAAUCCCUUCCAUACAGUGGGAAGAAAUUUGGGGAGAAAAAGAGAUGAUGGAGGGGGGUGUACGUAAUCAGAAUAUAUAUUAUGAAAAUGUCAAACCUCCACUAAAAUCUAAGAGGCAGAGGAACAGAAGGAGUUGGAGAAGUACAUUCUAUGCUGUGUCUAUCAUAAUGAAGCUUCUUUGUACAAUUAGUUUAUGUUAAUCAAAACCUCUGAAAAGAAAACAAAAGCCAGAAACCAGUGCCCUAAAACUUGCCACUUAAGAAGUUUAGUGCAGUAAAGAGCUAAUACCAUCCAAGUGAGCAGAAUUAAAAAGCAUGAAAAUAAAUGAGCUCAUGUUUAAUAAAACAGGUAACUCUGAAAACCAUAGUAGUUUUCACUGAAAUGAAGAGAAUGAGCGAUUUCUAUAGUUUCUUUGCAUAUAUUACCUAUUACCAUGCAUGAUUGCCAUUUAGCUGGGCACUUGCAGAGUUUGCCAAUUGUUCUAUGUCCUAAAGCUCAUCCUUAAAGCCUGAAUCAUGAAGACAUUAUUGGUUUUAUAUUUUCAAAAUCUAAAAAAAAUAAGAAAGAUUAAUGGCACGGGAGUUUCCCUGUGACAUUGUCACACAAGCAUUUAAUGUACUUUGAUCAUAUUUACACUCUAAUUGCUUUCCCUUGUUCCCCUCUCUCUGAGAACUUUUUUCUGUUUACUUUCUACUCUCAUGUAGUUAUCCUACAUUCUAUGUGUAACAGAGCUUACUGUGCUUAACAUAAUAACUUGCAAUUUCAUCCAUUUUCCUGAAAAUGACAAGACUUUGUCCUUCUUUAUGACUGAAUAGUAUUCUAUUGUGUGAUGAUGUUUUGUGUAUAACUUUUCCUUUGUACAUUAAUCCAUACUAAUCCAGUACUACGAUGAUUCCACUCCUUGGCUACUGUGUGUAAUACUGUGCUAAACAUAGAUAUGUUGGUGUUGGUAUUUUAUGCAGCCUUUGGGUAUAUUUCCUGGUAUAUUUGCUAAAUUAUAUGAUAAUUCUGUACUGAUUUUGAUAGAGGUUACAAAUCUACAUUCCUACCCCUUGCCAGCACAUUGUUUAUUUUCUUAAUGACAGUCAGUCUUCCUGGGGAGAGAUGGGACAUUAAUGUCAUACGGAAUUAUAUUUUCCUGAUGGCUGAAGAUGUCAAACAUUUUUUCAUGUAUUUAUUUUUAUUUGCACAUUUUUUUUUGGAAAAGUGUCUUUCUAGUUCACUUGCCCACUUGUUGACUGGAUUACAUGUUCAUUGUUGUUCAUGUUUUUCGGGUUCUUUGUAUACUCAAGGUACUAAUCUAUUGGGCAAACAGCUG